rnacentral:tRNA from 1 species
GCUUGUCUAGCUCAGUCGGUAGAGUACAAUGCUCUUAACCUUGUGGUUGUGGGUUGAGUCCCACAGUGGGCG